CCUACGGGUGGCAGCAGUGAGGAAUAUUGGUCAAUGGCCGGAAGGCUGAACCAGCCAUGCCGCGUGAAGGUCAGUGCCCUAUGGGCGUUAAACUUCUUUUGUGCGGGAGCAAUAAUGGUCACGUGUGGCCAGACGAGAGUACCGUCUGAAUAAGCACCGACUAACUCCUUGCCAGCAGCCGCGGUAAUACGGGAGAUGCAAGCGUUAUCCGGAUUUAUUGGGGUUGAAGGGUGCGGAGGCUGUGAGGUAAGUCAGCGGUGAAAUGCCCCCGGUCAACGGGGUGAAUUGCCAUUGAUACUGCCUAGCUAGAGUGCAGAUGCGGUGGGAGGAAUGUGUGGUGUAGCGGUGAAAUGCAUAGAUAUCACACAGAACACCGAUUGCGAAGGCAUCUCACGAAUCCGCAAUUGACGCUGAUGCACGAAAGCGUGGGUAUCAAACAGGAUUAGAUACCCGAGUAGUC
rnacentral:rRNA from 1 species